rnacentral:rRNA from 1 species
CCUACGGGAGGCAGCAGUAGGGAAUCUUCCACAAUGGGCGAAAGCCUGAUGGAGCAACGCCGCGUGGGUGAAGAAGGUCUUCGGAUCGUAAAACCCUGUUGUCAGAGAAGAAAGUGAGUGUGCGUAACUGUUCACGUUUCGAUGGUAUCUAACCAGAAAGCCACGGCUAACUACGUGCCAGCAGCCGCGGUAAUACGUAGGUGGCAAGCGUUAUCCGGAUUUAUUGGGCGUAAAGGGAACGCAGGCGGUCUUGUAAGUCUGAUGUGAAAGCCUUCGGCUUAACCGGAGUAGUGCAUUGGAAACUGGGAGACUGGAGUACAGAAGAGGAGAGUGGAACUCCAUGUGUAGCGGUGAAAUGCGUAGAUAUAUGGAAGAACACCAGUGGCGAAAGCGGCUCUCUGGUCUGUAACUGACGCUGAGGUUCGAAAGCGUGGGUAGCAAACAGGAUUAGAUACCCUAGUAGUC